GUGAGGAAUAUUGCGCAAUGGGGGAAACCCUGACGCAGCGACGCCGCGUGGGCGACGAAGGCCUUCGGGUCGUAAAGCCCUGUCGGGAGGAAAGAAAUGCGUUCAAGCCAACACCUUGGACGUUUGACGGUACCUCCAAAGGAAGCACCGGCUAACUCUGUGCCAGCAGCCGCGGUAAUACAGAGGGUGCAAGCGUUGUUCGGAAUUACUGGGCGUAAAGGGCGUGCAGGCGGCCUGUCAAGUCAGAUGUGAAAGCCCCCGGCUCAACCGGGGAAGCGCAUUUGAAACUGACGGGCUUGAGUGCCAGAGGGGAAAGUGGAAUUCCCGGCGUAGAGGUGAAAUUCGUAGAUAUCGGGAGGAAUACCGGUGGCGAAGGCGACUUUCUGGCUGGACACUGACGCUGAGACGCGAAAGCGCGGGGAGCAAACAGG
rnacentral:rRNA from 1 species